AUUGAACGCUGGCGGCAUGCCUUACACAUGCAAGUCGAACGGUAACAGGCCGCAAGGUGCUGACGAGUGGCGAACGGGUGAGUAAUGCAUCGGAACGUGCCCAGUCGUGGGGGAUAACUGCUCGAAAGAGCAGCUAAUACCGCAUGCGACCUGAGGGUGAAAGCGGGGGACCGUAAGGCCUCGCGCGAUUGGAGCGGCCGAUGUCAGGUUAGCUAGUUGGGGGGGUAAAGGCCUACCAAGGCAACGAUCUGUAGUUGGUCUGAGAGGACGACCAGCCACACUGGGACUGAGACACGGCCCAGACUCCUAUGGGAGGCAGCAGUGGGGAAUUUUGGACAAUGGGCGCAAGCCUGAUCCAGCAAUGCCGCGUGCAGGAAGAAGGCCUUCGGGUUGUAAACUGCUUUUGUCAGGGAAGAAAUCUUCUGUGCUAAUACCCCGGGAGGAUGACGGUACCUGAAGAAUAAGCACCGGCUAACUACGUGCCAGCCGCCGCGGUAAGAC
rnacentral:rRNA from 1 species